rnacentral:rRNA from 1 species
AAUGGGCGGAAGCCUAAUCCAGCAACGCCGCGUGAGGGAUGACGGCCUUCGGGUUGUAAACCUCUUCACCUGUGACGAAGCCCUUUCGGGGGUGACGGUAGCGGGAGAAGAAGCACCGGCCAACUACGUGCCAGCAGCCGCGGUAAUACGUAGGGUGCGAGCGUUGUCCGGAAUUAUUGGGCGUAAAGGGGCUCGUAGGCGGUUCGUCGCGUCGGGAGUGAAAUUCCACGGCUUAACUGUGGGCUUGCUUUCGAUACGGGCGGACUGGAGGUAGGCAGGGGAGAACGGAAUUCCUGGUGUAGCGGUGGAAUGCGCAGAUAUCAGGAGGAACACCGGUGGCGAAGGCGGUUCUCUGGGCCUUACCUGACGCUGAGGAGCGAAAGCGUGGGGAGCGAACAGGAUUAGAUACCCUGGUAGUCCACGCCGUAAACGUUGGGCGCUAGGUGUGGGGGGCGUAUUGUUCUCCGUGCCGCAGCUAACGCAUUAAGCGCCCCGCCUGGGGAGUACGGCCGCAAGGCUA